CUUAACCCUGAGCGUGCUUUCGAUACGGGUUGACUUGAGGAAGGUAGGGGAGAAUGGAAUUCCUGGUGGAGCGGUGGAAUGCGCAGAUAUCAGGAGGAACACCAGUGGCGAAGGCGGUUCUNUGGGCCUUUCCUGACGCUGAGGAGCGAAAGCGUGGGGAGCGAACAGGCUUAGAUACCCUGGUAGUCCACGCUGUAAACGGUGGGUACUAGGUGUGGGGUCCAUUCCACGGGUUCCGUGCCGUAGCUAACGCUUUAAGUACCCCGCCUGGGGAGUACGGCCGCAAGGCUAAAACUCAAAGGAAUUGACGGGGCCCCGCACAAGCGGCGGAGCAUGCGGAUUAAUUCGAUGCAACGCGUAGAACCUUACCUGGGUUUGACAUGGAUCGGGAGUGCUCAGAGAUGGGUGUGCCUCUUUUGGGGUCGGUUCACAGGUGGUGCAUGGCUGUCGUCAGCUCGUGUCGUGAGAUGUUGGGUUAAGUCCCGCAACGAGCGCAACCCUUGUUCACUGUUGCCAGCACGUUAUGGUGGGGACUCAGUGGAGACCGCCGGGGCCAACUCGGAGGAAGGUGGGGAUGACGUCAAGUCAUCAUGCCCCUUAUGUCCAGGGCUUCACGCAUGCUACAAUGGCUGGUACAGAGAGUGGCGAGCCUGUGAGGGUGAGCGAAUCUCGGAAAGCCGGUCUCAGUUCGGAUUGGGGUCUGCAACUCGACCUCAUGAAGUCGGAGUCGCUAGUAAUCGCAGAUCAGCAACGCUGCGGUGAAUACGUUCCCGGGGCUUGUACACACCGCCCGUCAAGUCAUGAAAGUUGGUAACACCCGAAGCCGGUGGCCUAACCGUUGUGGGGGAGCCGUCGAAGGUGGGACUGGUGGUUAGGACUAAGUCGUAACAAGGUAACCGU
rnacentral:rRNA from 1 species